GCCUACGGGAGGCAGCAGUGGGGAAUAUUGCACAAUGGGGGAAACCCUGAUGCAGCAACGCCGCGUGAGUGAAGAAGUAUUUCGGUAUGUAAAGCUCUAUCAGCAGGGAAGAAGAUGACGGUACCUGAAUAAGAAGCCCCGGCUAACUACGUGCCAGCAGCCGCGGUAAUACGUAGGGAGCAAGCGUUAUCCGGAUUUAUUGGGUGUAAAGGGUGCGUAGACGGGAAUGCAAGUUGGUUGUGAAAUCCCUCGGCUUAACUGAGGAACUGCAACCAAAACUACAUUUCUUGAGUGCUGGAGAGGAA
rnacentral:rRNA from 1 species